AGCGAACGCUGGCGGCAGGCUUAACACAUGCAAGUCGAGCGGGCAUCCUUGUGGUUUCAGCGGCAGACGGGUGAGUAACGCGUGGGAACGUGCCCUGCGGUUCGGAAUAACUCAGGGAAACUUGAGCUAAUACCGGAUACGUGCGAGAGCAGAAAGGUUUAUCUGCCGAAGGAUCGGCCCGCGUCUGAUUAGCUAGUUGGUGAGGUUAUGGCUCACCAAUGCGACGAUCAGUAGCUGGUCUGAGAGGCUGAUCAGCCACAAUGGGAAUGAGACCCGGCCCCGAAUCCUACGGGAGGCAGGAGUGGGGAAUAUAAGACAAUGGGGGCAACCGUAAUCCAGCCAUGCCGGGUGAGUGAUGACGGCCUUAGGGUUGUAAAGCUCUUUUCUCCGGGACGAUAAUGACGGUACCGGAGGAAUAAGCCCCGGCUAACUACGUG
rnacentral:rRNA from 1 species